rnacentral:lncRNA from 1 species
UUCGGUUGACAAGAGUAAUCAUGAGAAACAUAGUGAACCACAAGAAUUAACAACUUAUAUAUGACAUGUAACUGAUAUGAAAUAUAUAGGAACUUCUCAUAACUACUCCAAAUAGAGAACAGCCAAAAUUACUCAACGUCGGGAAAGGCAAAAGGAAAACCUAAGAAUGUAGCCAAAAUUAUAUAUGACAUGUAACUGAUAUGAAGUUAGCUUGUGAUAAUGAUAGCAUUGCCAUUAAGUGCAAAAUCAGGGGUUUCAAAUUUUGAAUUAUAUGUUCUGAUCACUGAAUGAUAUGUUCUGCAAAGAAUAAAAAAACCUUGUUUGCAUCAAAUUAUCUGCAAAUAAAG